rnacentral:rRNA from 1 species
CCUACGGGAGGCAGCAGUGGGGAAUAUUGCGCAAUGGGCGAAAGCCUGACGCAGCGACGCCGCGUGAGGGAUGAAGGUCUUCGGAUCGUAAACCUCUGUCAGCAGGGAAGAACGGUCACUGUGCUAAUCAGCAGUGAAUUGACGGUACCUGCAAAGGAAGCACCGGCUAACUCCGUGCCAGCAGCCGCGGUAAUACGGAGGGUGCGAGCGUUAAUCGGAAUUACUGGGCGUAAAGCGCUCGUAGGCGGGAUGUCAAGUCAAGGGUGAAAUCCCCGCGCUCAACGUGGGAACUGCCUGUGAAACUGGUAAACUGGAGUGUGUGAGAGGAUAGUGGAAUUCCAGGUGUAGGAGUGAAAUGCGUAGAUAUCUGGAGGAACAUCAGUGGCGAAGGCGACUAUCUGGCACAUAACUGACGCUGAGGAGCGAAAGCGUGGGUAGCAAACAGGAUUAGAUACCCUUGUAGUC